GUACACUCCUACGGGAGGCAGCAGUGGGGAAUUUUGGACAAUGGGCGAAAGCCUGAUCCAGCAAUGCCGCGUGAGUGAAGAAGGCCUUCGGGUUGUAAAGCUCUUUUGUCAGGGAAGAAACGGUGAAAGCUAAUAUCUUUUGCUAAUGACGGUACCUGAAGAAUAAGCACCGGCUAACUACGUGCCAGCAGCCGCGGUAAUACGUAGGGUGCAAGCGUUAAUCGGAAUUACUGGGCGUAAAGCGUGCGCAGGCGGUUUUGUAAGUCUGAUGUGAAAUCCCCGGGCUCAACCUGGGAAUUGCAUUGGAGACUGCAAGGCUAGAAUCUGGCAGAGGGGGGUAGAAUUCCACGUGUAGCAGUGAAAUGCGUAGAUAUGUGGAGGAACACCGAUGGCGAAGGCAGCCCCCUGGGUCAAGAUUGACGCUCAUGCACGAAAGCGUAGGGAGCAAACAGGAUUAGAAACCCUAGUAGUCCC
rnacentral:rRNA from 1 species